rnacentral:rRNA from 1 species
GAUGAACGCUGGCGGCGUGCCUAAUACAUGCAAGUCGAGCGAACAGACGAGGAGCUUGCUCCUCUGACGUUAGCGGCGGACGGGUGAGUAACACGUGGAUAACCUACCUAUAAGACUGGGAUAACUUCGGGAAACCGGAGCUAAUACCGGAUAAUAUAUUGAACCGCAUGGUUCAAUAGUGAAAGUCGGUUUUGCUGUCACUUAUAGAUGGAUCCGCGCCGCAUUAGCUAGUUGGUAAGGUAACGGCUUACCAAGGCAACGAUACGUAGCCGACCUGAGCGGGUGAUCGGCCACACUGGAACUGAGACACGGACCAGACUCCUACGAGAGGGAGCAGUAGGGAAUCUUCCGCAAUGGGCGAGAGCCUUACGGAGCAACGCCGCGUGAGUGAUAAAGGUCUUCGGAUCGUAAAACUCUGUUAUUAGUGAAGAACAAAUGUGUAAGUAACUAUGCACGUCUUGACGGUACCUAAUCAGAAAGCCACGGCUAACUACGUG